UCUUAAGGAUGAGCAAAGGAAAGUGGUUUUUAAAAGAUGAAAUCUAUUCCUGGUGAAGAUGCUGUGAA
rnacentral:pre_miRNA from 1 species